rnacentral:rRNA from 1 species
AUUGAACGCUGGCGGCAGGCCUAACACAUGCAAGUCGAACGAGUGGCGGACGGGUGAGUAAUGUCUUGGAAACUGCCUGAUGGAGGGGGAUAACUACUGGACACGGUAGCUCAUACCGCAUACCAUCGGAUGUGCCCAGGUGGGAUUGGCUAGUAGGUGGGUUAACGGCUCACCUAGGCGACGAUACCUAGCUGGUCUUAGAGGAUGACCAGCCACACUGGAACUAGGACACGGGCCAGACUCCUACGGGGGGAAGCAGUGGGGAAUAUUGCAAAAUGGGCUCAAGCCUGAUGCAGCCAGGCAGCGUGUAUGAAGAGGUCCUUCGGGUUGUAAAGUACUGUCAGCGGGGAGGCGUUACCCGCAGAAGAAGCACCGGCGAACUCCGUGCCAGCAGCCACGGUAAUAC